UACGGAGGGGACUAGCGUUGUUCGGAAUUACUGGGCGUAAAGCGCACGUAGGCGGAUUUGUAAGUCAGGGGUGAAAUCUCGGAGCUUAACUCCGAAACUGCAUUCGAUACUGUCGUGCUUGAGGACUGGAGAGGAGACUGGAAUUUACGGUGUAGCGGUGAAAUGCGCAGAUAUCAGGAAGAACACCAGUGGCGAAGGCGGCUCACUGGCCCGGAACUGACGCUGAGACGCGAAAGCGUGGGGAGCAAACAGG
rnacentral:rRNA from 1 species